UAAUACGUAGGUGGCGAGCGUUGUCCGGAAUUACUGGGUGUAAAGGGCGUGUAGGCGGGAAUGUAAGUCAGAUGUGAAAUGCCGAGGCUUAACCUCGGAGCUGCAUCUGAAACUGCGUUUCUUGAGUGUCGGAGAGGAAAGUGGAAUUCCCAGUGUAGCGGUGAAAUGCGUAGAUAUUGGGAGGAACACCAGUGGCGAAGGCGACUUUCUGGACGAUAACUGACGCUGAGGCGCGAAAGCGUGGGGAGCAAACAGGAUUAGAUACCCUGGUAGUCCACGCCGUAAACGAUGGAUACUAGGUGUAGGAGGUAUCGACCCCUUCUGUGCCGGAGUUAACACAAUAAGUAUCCCACCUGGGGAGUACGGCCGCAAGGUU
rnacentral:rRNA from 1 species